AGAGUUUGAUCCUGGCUCAGGAUGAACGCUGGCGGCGUGCUUAACACAUGCAAGUCGAGCGAAGCAGUUAAGGAGAUUCUUCGGAUGAUUCUUAACUGACUGAGCGGCGGACGGGUGAGUAACGCGUGGGUGACCUGCCCCAUACCGGGGGAUAACAGCUGGAAACGGCUGCUAAUACCGCAUAAGCGCACAGAGCUGCAUGGCUCGGUGUGAAAAACUCCGGUGGUAUGGGAUGGGCCCGCGUCUGAUUAGGCAGUUGGCGGGGUAACGGCCCACCAAACCGACGAUCAGUAGCCGGCCUGAGAGGGCGACCGGCCACAUUGGGACUGAGACACGGCCCAAACUCCUACGGGAGGCAGCAGUGGGGAAUAUUGCACAAUGGGGGAAACCCUGAUGCAGCGACGCCGCGUGGAGGAAGAAGGUCUUCGGAUUGUAAACUCCUGUUGUUGAGGAAGAUAAUGACGGUACUCAACAAGGAAGUGACGGCUAACUACGUGCCAGCAGCCGCGGUAAAACGUAGGUCACAAGCGUUGUCCGGAAUUACUGGGUGUAAAGGGAGCGCAGGCGGGCGAUCAAGUUGGAAGUGAAAUCCAUGGGCUCAACCCAUGAACUGCUUUCAAAACUGAUUGUCUUGAGUAGUGCAGAGGUAGGCGGAAUUCCCGGUGUAGCGGUGGAAUGCGUAGAUAUCGGGAGGAACACCAGUGGCGAAGGCGGCCUACUGGGCACCAACUGACGCUGAGGCUCGAAAGUGCGGGUAGCAAACAGGAUUAGAUACCCUGGUAGUCCACACCGUAAACGAUGAUUACUAGGUGUUGGAGGAUUGACCCUUUCAGUGCCGCAGUUAACACAAUAAGUAAUCCACCUGGGGAGUACGACCGCAAGGUUGAAACUCAAAGGAAUUGACGGGGGCCCGCACAAGCAGUGGAGUAUGUGGUUUAAUUCGACGCAACGCGAAGAACCUUACCAAGUCUUGACAUCCUGCGACGAUGCUAGAAAUAGUAUUUUCCUUCGGGACGCAGAGACAGGUGGUGCAUGGUUGUCGUCAGCUCGUGUCGUGAGAUGUUGGGUUAAGUCCCGCAACGAGCGCAACCCUUAUGGUCAGUUACUACGCAAGAGGACUCUGGCCAGACUGCCGUUGACAAAACGGAGGAAGGUGGGGAUGACGUCAAAUCAUCAUGCCCUUUAUGACUUGGGCUACACACGUACUACAAUGGCGUUAAACAAAGAGAAGCAAGACCGCGAGGUGGAGCAAAACUCAGAAACAACGUCCCAGUUCGGACUGCAGGCUGCAACUCGCCUGCACGAAGUCGGAAUUGCUAGUAAUCGCAGAUCAGCAUGCUGCGGUGAAUACGUUCCCGGGCCUUGUACACACCGCCCGUCACACCAUGAGAGCCGGGGGGACCCGAAGUCGGUAGUCUAACCGCAAGGAGGACGCCGCCGAAGGUAAAACUGGUGAUUGGGGUGAAGUCGUAACAAGGUA
rnacentral:rRNA from 1 species